UACGGAGGUCUCAAGCGUUGUUCGGAUUCAUUGGGCGUAAAGGGUGCGUAGGCGGCGCGGUAAGUCGGGUGUGAAAUCUCGGAGCUUAACUCCGAAACUGCAUUCGAUACUGCCGUGCUUGAGGACUGGAGAGGAGACUGGAAUUUACGGUGUAGCGGUGAAAUGCGUAGAUAUCGUAGGGAAGACCAGUGGCGAAGGCGGGUCUCUGGACAGUUCCUGACGCUGAGGCACGAAGGUCAGGGGAGCAAACAGG
rnacentral:rRNA from 1 species